CAAUAGCGUAUAUUAAAGUUGUUGCAGUUAAAAAGCUCGUAGUUGGAUUUCUGGUAGAAGGUUAGAGCGCACCUGCGUGAUGCUCGCGUCUUCUGCCAUCCUUCUGUUAACCUAGCAUGGCCUUGAUUGGUCGGCUAGGGGCUCAGAUAUUUUACCUUGAGAAAAUUAGAGUGUUUCAGGCAGGCUUGUGCCCGGAUACAUUAGCAUGGAAUAAUAGAAUAGGACUUUAGCCUCUUCUGUUGGUCUGAGGGGUUGAAGUAAUGAUUAAUAGGGAUAGUUGGGGGCAUUAGUACUUAACUGUCAGAGGUGAAAUUCUCGGAUUUGUUAAAGACUAACUUAUGCGAAAGCAUUUGCCAAGGAUGUUUUCAUUAAUCAAGAACGAAAGUUAGGGGAUCAAAGACGAUCAGAUACCGUCCUAGUCUUAACCAUAAACUAUGCCGACUCGGGAUCGGGGGCUAGAGUUAACUGCCUUCGGCACCGUAUGAGAAAUCAAAGUCUUUG
rnacentral:rRNA from 1 species